ACUUAUGAAAGAGCAAGAAAGAAGUUAAAGCUUUCAGAAAACACAUCUGAUUUGAAUAUUACAGAAAGUGAAAACAAAGAUAAAGCAACUGGUGUGCUAAAAAGGAAAAGGUUGAUUACUAACUUGAUCAAGGAGGUUGUACUUUUGUGGAGGAUAAUGGCCGUAAUAGUGCUGUAAUGACAACAAACACAAAUACAUAUGAACCGAAGUAAAUAUAACUCAAGAUAAUUUAAACUGUAAUGAGGAAUGCACAUCAGUAAUAAAAUGUGGGGGGCUUGGCUUUGUGUCACAAGACUGAGAUGACAAAC